rnacentral:tRNA from 1 species
GAGGGUAUAGCUCAGUGGUAGAGUGCAUACUUAGCAUGCACAAGGUCCUGGGUUCAAUCCCCAGUACCUCCA